AUCCAUUAACCAGGGGGCCUCGCCGAAUAUGACACUGACGCUUAAUAUGGACCGAUCUCCCCCGGAUCCAUAAAAGUUCAGUGUCAAACUCGGCGAGUGCCCCGUCCCCUUUUAAAAUU
rnacentral:pre_miRNA from 1 species